CUGACCGAUAGUGAACCAGUACCGUGAGGGAAAGGCGAAAAGACCCCCGGCGAGGGGAGUGAAAUAGAACCUGAAACCGUGUACGUACAAGCAGUGGGAGCCUCUUUAUGGGGUGACUGCGUACCUUUUGUAUAAUGGGUCAGCGACUUAUAUUCUGUAGCAAGGUUAACCGUAUAGGGGAGCCGUAGGGAAACCGAGUCUUAACUGGGCGUUAAGUUGCAGGGUAUAGACCCGAAACCCGGUGAUCUAGCCAUGGGCAGGUUGAAGGUUGGGUAACACUAACUGGAGGACCGAACCGACUAAUGUUGAAAAAUUAGCGGAUGACUUGUGGCUGGGGGUGAAAGGCCAAUCAAACCGGGAGAUAGCUGGUUCUCCCC
rnacentral:rRNA from 1 species